rnacentral:tRNA from 2 species
GGAGAGGUGGCUGAGUGGUCGAAAGCGCUCCCCUGCUAAGGGAGUGUGCCUUCACGGGUACCGAGGGUUCGAAUCCCUUCCUCUCCGCCA